GACGAACGCUGGCGGCGUGCUUAACACAUGCAAGUCGAACGAUGAAGCUGGAGCUUGCUCUGGCGGAUUAGUGGCGAACGGGUGAGUAACACGUGGGAAAUCUGUCCUUGACUCUGGGAUAACUGCGGGAAACUGUAGCUAAUACCGGAUACUUUCCCUGGUGGGCAUCCACUGGGGAAGAAAGAAUUUCGGUCAAGGAUGAUCUCGCGGCCUAUCAGCUUGUUGGUGAGGUAAUGGCUCACCAAGGCGACGACGGGUAGCCGGCCUGAGAGGGUGACCGGCCACACUGGGGCUGAGACACGGCCCAGACUCCUACGGGAGGCAGCAGUGGGGAAUAUUGCACAAUGGGCGCAAGCCUGAUGCAGCAACGCCGCGUGAGGGAUGAAGGCCUUCGGGUUGUAAACCUCUUUUAGCAGGGAAGAAGCGAAAGUGACGGUACCUGCAGAAAAAGCACCGGUUAACUACGUGCCAGCCGCCGCCGUAA
rnacentral:rRNA from 1 species